rnacentral:rRNA from 1 species
UAGGUGGCAAGCGUUAUCCGGAUUUACUGGGUGUAAAGGGCGUGUAGGCGGGGAAGCAAGUCAGAUGUGAAAUUCCAGGGCUCAACCCUGGAACUGCAUUUGAAACUGUUUUUCUUGAGUGUUGGAGAGGCAGGCGGAAGUCCGUGUGUAGCGGUGAAAUGCGUAGAUAUACGGAGGAACACCAGUGGCGAAGGCGGCCUGGUGGACAAUAACUGACGCUGAGGCGCGAAAGCGUGGGGAGCAAA